GAUGAACGCUGGCGGCGUGCCUAAUACAUGCAAGUCGAGCGAACAGAUGAGGAGCUUGCUCCUCUGACGUUAGCGGCGAACGGGUGAGUAACACGUGGAUAACCUACCUGUAAGACUGGGAUAACUUCGGGAAACCGGAGCUAAUACCGGAUAAUAUAUUGAACCGCAUGGUUCAAUAGUGAAAGACGGUUUUGCUGUCACUUAUAGAUGGAUCCGCGCCGCAUUAGCUAGUUGGUAAGGUAACGGCUUACCAAGGCGACGAUGCGUAGCCGACCUGAGAGGGUGAUCGGCCACACUGGAACUGAGACACGGUCCAGACUCCUACGGGAGGCAGCAGUAGGGAAUCUUCCGCAAUGGGCGAAAGCCUGACGGAGCAACGCCGCGUGAGUGAUGAAGGUCUUCGGAUCGUAAAACUCUGUUAUUAGGGAAGAACAAAUGUGUAAGUAACUAUGCACGUCUUGACGGUACCUAAUCAGAAAGCCACGGCUAACUACGUG
rnacentral:rRNA from 1 species